UACAGAGGUCCCAAGCGUUUGUUCGGAUUCACUGGGCGUAAAGGGUGCGUAGGUGGUCGGGUAAGUCCGAUGUGAAAUCUCCAGGCUCAACCUGGAAAUGGCAUUGGAUACUAUUCGGCUUGAGGAGUGGAGGGGGGACUGGAAUUCUCGGUGUAGCAGUGAAAUGCGUAGAUAUCGAGAGGAACACCAGUGGCGAAGGCGAGUCCCUGGACACUUCCUGACACUGAGGCACGAAAGCUAGGGGAGCAAACGGG
rnacentral:rRNA from 1 species